rnacentral:lncRNA from 1 species
UCCCUGUAAAUUAAAAAAAAUAUUAAUUAUGUUUAUUUUUAAAUAAAGUAAAUAAGUAUCUAUUUUCUCGAACUAAACAAAAUUAUUGAACUGCCAAUAUUGAAAUAUUUUACUUGAAUUAAUAACGUAACAUUAACACUGUAGAUUUGGUUCCUAAUUUUUAAUAAAAUUGAUUUUAUUUCAUAGAUUUGUGAUUAAAAAAAGAAAACCCUCGUUUUUCUUUUUUGUUCAUUCUUUGAUUGAUCACCGUGAUUUUAGAUGUCGUUUCUUGAAAUUUGUUAGCAUCUCUUUAUGAAAUCAAAAUUUCCGCUUACUUUUGGUGUAUUUUUCAAAUAUUCAUAAUAAAAUAAUUAUACAUACAUGAGGUCCCACGUUAGAGGUUUUUUUGGGAACAAGAAAAAUCCUUGUUCUAUGAAAUACGUGUUGUACGAAGACUUUUUUAGUACUAAAACCCGUAAAAUGGGAGAAACUGUUUUUGAAAGUUCACUUUUUUCCUUUGUUUUUUUAUUAUGGUUAGGACUAAAAAAACAUUUAAUUCAUCAUAAAUUAUUUAAAAUAAUGUAUGCCGACAAGAUACUUUUAAAAUACAAAAUUAUAUUCUACAAGGGGUAUUUACGUGAUUUUCAAUGCUUUAAUUUCAGUAAUGUAAAAUUUAAUUUAAUGGGACUUAACAAAUAUUUAUUUGCCAACAAUUUGAAUUGCAAGCUUGUAUAAUAAGUAAUAACCAAAAGUUUUAUAUCUAGGUAUCAAAUCAAAUACUUUUAGGACACUCUCCUUCCUCCCAAAAUUAUACACUUUUAUUAUUUGAAUAUAAAGGGAUAGUAUGGAGAAACUUAUCAUAAAUUACAAAAAUUCUUAUUUAUCUCAAUAUAUAGGUUUUUCUAAUAUAUUAUUAUAAUAAUACCUAAUAUACCUCAUUUUUUUUAAAUCUAAUAUUUGUUGUAUUUAAAUAUUGAGUAUACGAUACACUGUUCAUUUUGUUAUUUAAUGACUUUAUCUGUACUCAAAUAAACCUGGAUAGCAAAGUUGUAACCUUCACUUGGUAAUAUUGGUGUUCCCUGUAUUGUUGCAUUUCUUUUGAAUAUAUAUCCCUUUUUUAUUAUUUUUUCUUUUCCUAGUACGUUUGCAAUUGGGUUGCGCUCUUCUAUUUAUAUUACUCAUGUGUGUUUUGAAUUUGCCACGUAAUUGCAUUUCAUAAAAAUGAUAAUUAAGUACACUAAUUAAUUUGUGUUUGUGCCCUUCCUUGCCUCGAAAAAGAAAAAAAAAGGUUUUAUUCAUGAUCCUUCGAGACGGAUUGUAAGGAAUUGGAUGGAUUUCUGAUUAGCAAUAGCAUAGGAAAAUAUCAUCACAUCAGAAAUCGUUUUUGUAACCACUCGUGGUUGUUAAUAUAUUAAUAUUAAAGUAUGUUCUUUAUAUUUAAAAGAUGGCACCGUUUAAAAUAUGUAUCACCCUGCUUGGAGAACAUAGGGUAUAUUUCGAAGAGUAUCAUCAAGAAUUGAGUUAAGGGAUGAAGUUGGAUAAACGCGUUUGUUCGGAAACGGAAUAAAUAAUCAAAUAGUACGCGGAGUUUGACACUAGUGACAAUCAAAAUAUCUGUACAGUAAACAGCUCCAAGAAAUAAUUCGGGAGCUACAAAAUAAGCAUGUCAAGGCUUAUCGAAAUUUUGCAAGUGAAUUAAAGAUCAAUAACUUUAAAUGGAAAUAAAAUAUCAGAAAGAGCUUUGGGUUAUUAAAAAUGACUUACCAACGUUUGAACGGCAAUUGACGAUUUUUGCGUCAUGAAUGGAAACAUUUUUCAUCUGUACUUCAAGUACAACAUCUGUAAUAGGUUUUAUUUCUUCCUUUGACAUAGGAAAGUUAUAAUGAAGCUAUCAGAAUCUUAAAGAAUAAUUUUGGUUGAAGUACAAACUCUGAUAUCCAAGCUUGUUCAUAGAUUCGUUCGUCUAAAUCAAGUGAAGUAUAAUAUUCUCACGAUGAAAUAAUUACAAAUCAACGCACUCUAAAAACGAAUAAUAUAAAUUUCGAAGAACCUAAUUUACAAAGAUUUGGCGAGUAGAGUGUCUAACCUCUUUAUGGAUAAAUAGAAGAGAUUUGUUAGUGAAAUUCAAGAUUAAGAUUUAAUCACAAUAGAUAACAUAUCACAUGUUCAAAUUGCAGUUAAGGAUGCAGAAACUUGGAAUUCAUUGAAGAGUGAUUGAACAUUGCUCUUCAUGAAAAGAGUUGUCAAUAAAUGUAUUCUAAAUUUGCAUGUUGGCCAUCCAAAUUCCGAAGAAUUGCUCGACAAGGUUUUUAAACUUGGCUAGAACACAGGCACUCACAUUUCGAAAUUUUAUUGUUUAAAAUUAAAUAAUGAGCCUCAAAAAAAAAUAUAUAUAAAUCCGUGUCUAUUUUUUAACUCAUGAAAUGAGCAGUUUUUCCCACGAUACUUGCUAUUUUUCUUUAUAUCCAACUUUUUUUUUACAAUAAUAAUAUACGAAUGAAUGUAC